rnacentral:tRNA from 1 species
GGCAGUGUAGCUCAGUCGGUCAGAGCACCCGGCUCAUACCCGGAGGGUCGUGGGUUCGAGUCCCACCACUGCUA